UACGGGAGGCAGCAGUGGGGAAUAUUGCACAAUGGGCGCAAGCCUGAUGCAGCCAUGCCGCGUGUAUGAAGAAGGCCUUCGGGUUGUAAAGUACUUUCAGCGGGGAGGAAGGCGAUGUGGUUAAUAACCGCGUCGAUUGACGUUACCCGCAGAAGAAGCACCGGCUAACUCCGUGCCAGCAGCCGCGGUAAUACGGAGGGUGCAAGCGUUAAUCGGAAUUACUGGGCGUAAAGCGCACGCAGGCGGUCUGUUAAGUCAGAUGUGAAAUCCCCGGGCUUAACCUGGGAACUGCAUUUUGAAACUGGCAGGCUUGAGUCUCGUAGAGGGGGUAGAAUUCCAGGUGUAGCGGUGAAAUGCGUAGAGAUCUGGAGGAAUCCGGUGGCGAAGGCGGCCCCUGGGCGAAGACUGACGCUCAGGGUGCGAAAGCGUGGGGAGCGAAACAGGAUUAGGAUACC
rnacentral:rRNA from 1 species